GGUCCUGUAGUCCAAUGGCUAAGACAUGUCCUUGACUUGGACAAAACCGCGGUUCGAUCCCGCGCAGGACCA
rnacentral:tRNA from 1 species